CUCACAUGUUGCUCCACAUCCGCCGACACGCGAUUUCUGCCCAUUCCCUCCAACUUCUUUCAAAAAUUAUCUGCUAUCGCUUCUCUAUUUCCAGCUCCAAAGCCAGAAGGCUAACCAAGAAGAGAUGCAUCUCCCUCCUCGAAAAUUGCAAGUCCAUGAAGCAACUGAAGCAAAUCCACUGCCAAAUCCUCGUCUCAUCCCUCCACCUCAGCAGGGAUGUGAUAGAUGACCUCAUGGUCUUCUGCACCGAUCCUGUGUCCGGAGACCUAAACCAUGCAACAAAGGUGUUUGAAACCCUCGAGAGCCGAUCACUUUUCAUCUACAACUUAGUGAUUAAAGCAUUCACAAAGAAGGGUAAUCUAAAGAGUGCUCUCCUUUUGUUCGAUAGAAUGAGGGAGGAGUGUUUGCGGCCAGAUAAUUUUACAUACCCCUUUGUUUUGAAGGCGAUAGGCAGCCUUCACAUGGAAUUGGAAGGGAGAAAGAACCAUGCACUCGUUGUUAAAACUGGACUUGAUUUCGAUCCAUAUGUAAGGAACUCACUGAUGGGCAUGUAUGCCGACAUGGGUAGAGUUGAGAUUUCACAGUUGUUGUUCGAUGAAAUGCCUGAAAGGGAUAUAAUUUCUUGGAAUGUUCUCAUCGCGGCUUAUGUUAAAUGUGGGAAGUUUGGGGACGCUAUCUUUGUCUACUGGAAGAUGGAUCAGGAGGGUGUUAAGCCUGAUGAAGCUACUUUGGUGAGUACACUUUCUGCUUGUGUUUCAACAGGGAAUUUGGAGUUGGGAACAAGAAUUCAUCGUUAUAUGAAUGAAGAAUUUAAAUUCAGUGUGCCUCUUGGAAAUGCUUUGUUGGAUAUGUAUGCGAAAUGUGGCAGUGUAGAUAUGGCUCGUAGGUUCUUCAGUUGCAUGCCAGAAAGAAACGUGAUCUCUUGGACUAGCAUGGUCUCAGGAUAUGUGAAUUCAGGCCAGUUGGAUGAAGCAAGACAGUUGUUCAACCAGAGCCCUGCGAAAGAUGUAAUUCUUUGGACUGCUAUGAUUAAUGGAUAUGUGCAGUAUAAUCACUUUCAAGAAGCUAUGGCACUUUUUAGAGAGAUGCAGCUGAAAAGAGUCAAACCCGAUAAGUACACGGUUGCUGCUCUUCUUACAGCUUGUGCUAGUUUGGGAGCACUCGAACAAGGAAAAUGGAUUCAUGGAUACAUCGAGGACAAUAUGAUAAAAAUUGAUGCUGUGGUUGGCACAGCACUAAUAGACAUGUAUGCAAAAUGUGGGUGCAUAGAGAAGUCCUUGGAUAUAUUUAGGGGAGUGGAAGGAAAGGACACUGCAACAUGGACUUCAAUUAUCUGUGGGCUGUCUCUAAAUGGGCAAACAAGCAAAGCACUUGAGUUAUUCACAGAGAUGAAAAGUGUUGGAGCUGAACCAGAUGAUAUCACCUUUAUUGGUGUUUUAAGUGCUUGCAGUCAUGGAGGAUUGGUGGAUGAAGGCUGUAAGUAUUUCGACGCUAUGAAGAAAGUGCGUCACAUAGAACCCAAAUUAGAACACUAUGGCUGUUUGGUUGAUCUCCUUGGCCGUGCUGGUCUUUUAGAUGAUGCAGAGAAGUUGAUUGGAAAUAUACCCAAUAAUAAUGAUAAAAGCAUCUUACCUUUGUGGGGUGCUUUGCUUAAUGCUUGUAGAAUCCAUGGUAAUGUUGUGAUGGGUGAGCGACUGGCCAAACAAGUAAUUGAACUAGAGUUUGGAAAUCCUGGUCUACAUACUCUUGUGGCUAAUAUAUAUGCUGCGGCAGACAGAUGGGAUGAUGUCACCAAAAUAAGGAGGAAGAUGAAAGAUCUUGGCAUCAAGAAGACACCAGGUUGCAGUUCAAUUGAAGUGAAUGGCAUGAUUCAUGAGUUCCUUGUUGCCGAUACUGCAUCUCCUCAAAGAAGUCAGAUUUACUCGGUGCUGAACAGUAUAAGCAGGCUUACGGACUCGGAUGAACAAAUCGAGAUAAAUGAUCAAGUCAUUAUUUACACAUCAUACCUUCUGGAGAGGUGAAACAUGAUGUUCCAGGGCAAAUUGUCCACUGAAAGCCACAUGGUUAAUAAACUUGCUUGAUUCUGGGAGAUUCUCCUGGGAACACCGUUCAAGCCAAAUCUUACUGAAGCAGCCUAUACAGUUGACAGUCACACAUUUGAUUUUGAGAUCAAAUUUUUGUUUUGAUGCCAGAAGUUAAAGCUUACCUAAACUUGACUAACAUAGCUCUCUGGUGUUUAAUGAGGAAUACAAGCUUAGUAGCUUCUAUUGGUAAAAACAGUUCGCCCAAGUGGGGUAUUUUCGUGCGAAGAUGCUGCCUACACCUGGACAUGUUGUAACCAGAACUCGUACAAAGUGGAAGCCAGAAGACUCGGAGGAUUUUUGAAGAACAUGUAGAUGAUAUUCUUGAAUUAUAUCUUCCUGGAAUAUGACUCAGCUUAUGUGACUACUAGUUUAAUAAUAUAGGAUUGUUGACGGAGAACCUUGCCUUUAUUGCCUCACUUGUUCAGGAUAUUACACUGAGGGGAUUUUCCUCAUUAGCAAGGUUGUUGCUUCCCAAGACUGGCCUGAAGUGACAAAAUAUGCUGGACUUGUUUGUGCUCAAGUUCAUUGACAAGAAUUCAUUCAGGAUGUGUUCAAGACAUGGCAUGAUUCUCAGCAGGGUACAGUUACGGGAGGCAUGCUCAUGCUUGUUUCUCUUUCCUUGAAAAGGGGACUUCAAAUUACAUUUACUGGAGAGCAAUCAGGUAUCUACCUGGGGGCAUGGUGAGGCUGUUGAUGGUUAGAUUAAGGUUGGAUGCCUGUGAUUCGUUGAAUGGCAAGUCCUUCUUCAUUGGAACUUUGAAACUAAUAUUUGCACUCUCAUAUCAGCUGCUGAAGCAUUCAUACGAAAAUUUGCCAAUGAAAAUAUCAAACCAUACAUCUUUACAUAACUACAAGUUAUUACAGAAAGUCCAUGCUUUUUUACAUAAUUUUUUUGUCUUUUUAAGGCUUGCAACGAUAGGAAGAAGUCAGAAUAUAUAAUUGUAUAAUCAUAUGUAAUUCAUCUCUUUACCUGUUUUUAUUCUUUUCUUUUUUUCUUUUUUUUGCCAAUAUGUCAGUCCCAUGGUUGAUAUAUAUCAACCAAGAUAUCAGGAUAUCUUGAAACAUUUUAAAAUG